CCAAAAAAAGUUAUUUCGUUGUGAGAAAAAGUCAGAAUAGUCAUGUAGAGAGCUGCAUUAAUCACAACAGAAUUCAUCAAUUGAUUAUCUUAAUUGGUAUCAGUAAAGAAGUAUAAGUACAAAUUCAAAGUACAGUGGGUUUAGGAGUAAAGAAGUAAGAACAGAGAGCAUGUUAUAUUCUAGGGGGAGGGUAGAGAAGAGGAAAAACAGUAACUAAAGCAUGUAUAAAGUUGGGAUGUGAAUAAAGAUCUCCUUAAGAUUAGACUGCCUAGAGAAAGAUGCAAAAAUAUUUAGUUAUUUCAAGUGUGCAAUAUUCUAAUUUGUCAUGGUUUUCCUACCAGCCCCAUGUCUGUUGUGUUGAAGAAAUGAUAGUUUUAAUCAGAAUAAAAGUUAAUUUUUUUUUAAAAAGCAAUUUUGAAGCAUGACACAG
rnacentral:lncRNA from 1 species